rnacentral:lncRNA from 10 species
CCCCUGCCCACUCAUGCCAACGGUGGCUCACACACAGGUACUAGUAACAUCCCCUUUGACAAGUGAAGAAACCGAGGCUUGGCAAGGUUAAUCAGCGUGCCCAAGGUCAGCCAGCUCCCUGAAGUCUGACUCUACCAGCCUCAACCGUUACCAGGGCGGCGAUGGUCAGCAGUCACAAUUACCAGGGGCUGCAGGAGAUCGUCAAAAUCUCGCAGAGCCUACGUAAGUUUUAAAACUCUACGUCUCCAGAUUCAGCAUGAGAAGGAGAAGUUCCUUGAAUCCUCUGGGCACUGGGGACAGCCAGUCCACCCACCCUGGGUAACAAAGGGAUGUGGUCAGUCCUCACGUGAGGAGGGACUGAGUGUCCUCCAUGGACCUGCGACGUCCCGUCUGUGAGGCCCUCGCUACUUUCUGCAAAUUUCUACAUGGAUCAGAGACAGGAGAAGCAGGCACACUGAUGGUUGUCUAGCACCACGUGCCAGUUUUUGGCAGUCGGGACCACCUCGACUUCCUGUCUCCAGGCAGGGUGGGGAGGGAAUGGUCCUUAUGCCCCAGGAGAGCCUCAAGGGCUGUGCACACCCUGCAAUGCAGGCACACCCCCUUCCACCCUCUGAAUGCUCUGCCACAAACAGCCACUGCGAGCGUAAUGAAGCCCCCAAAACAGGGAGCCCUGUGACUCACCACUGCUGCUUCAGGGACAGGGACAACUGCCAGAAUUCUUAGCUCUCUUUUACAGAUGGGGAAAUUGGGACUCAGAGAGGGAUGCGAUCUCUCCAAGCUCACACAGCCAAUCUGUGGCAGGGGAAUGAGAAAGUCUGGUCUGGUCUCCUCUCCCCAUGGCUGGGGCUCUCUCUGCAGUCCCGCCCUAUGCCCAGCCUGCACCCUCACCUGCCCCUGGCUCCUGGACUGGCAACUCAAGUCGUGACACGGACACGCUUUACCGAAUUUGCCUCCACACUUUGAGCGACUCAUUAGUAUAAAAAACACGUUCCUCACCACCCUUGCCAGAAGAUUCUUGACACAACACAGUUGGGGGGUUGGCACGCUCUCUCCGUUGUUAAGUAUUUAUAUAUAGUUAGUAUUGGAAUGGUCCCCGGACACCGAUCCAAGUCUCCCGUUUUCAGAUGGGGGGCACCAGGCUUAGGGUCAGGACCCCCCUGGAACAAUUCAGUAGCACAGCUGAGACAUAAAUCCACAGAGCCUGCCCUGAACUUUCCAGCUGCUCCUUGGCAAAUGGGCCAUGGGGAAAAAAAAUAAAUAAAGGCUGCCACUUACUAAGCAUUUGCUCUGUGCCAGGCACUUUGCAUAAAUCGGUGCUAAAUCUUAUCCUAAUUCUCUCAGGGAGGCAUUUUUAUCCCCAUUUUGCAGAUGAGCAAGCUGAGGCUCAGAGAGGGCAAGCCACCUGCCCAAGGUCACAGAGCCAGGGGCUGGAAAUGGCACACAUUUCUUCCCCCACGCCAGGGUUGGCAAAUGAUAGCCCAUAGGCAAAUUGAG